UAUAUAUGUGUGUCUUAGUACUGGUC
rnacentral:piRNA from 1 species